ensembl:lncRNA
CGGCACACCAGGGAAGCCAAGGAACAUGAGGAUUUUGGGAGAUGUGCAAACAUAGAAGGAAAAAAAAAAAACUAUAACCAACCUGUUAAUCGCAUGAUUCAACGUCUCAUAGACCUGCACACACACGUGAAGAAAAAAAGCUACAUUAAAAAAGGUGAUGUGAGUUUGACAGCUGUAGUUGAUUUGGGAUAUGUUUUGUUUAAAUUUAUGAAAAAAAUGACAAGUUCAUUGAGUAUAAUGUAACGUUAUUGAUUUCAUGCAAGGGUUUUACGAAAUGGAUAUUCUUGAAGAAAUAGAUAGAUAACGUUAUUAUUUCACCAAAGUGGGGCGUUUGAAUAAUACUUUGACCCUUCCAUUUGCUAAUAUUAGCAAAUACAAUUAAUUAAUUGCUAAUGUAGGGGUGACUUCAUUCAAAGUUUACUGUGACAUGUCUAACUUUAAGCUUCCAUUUCACACAGUGGCCAUUGAAGGCGGUUCCGUGGUGAGAACGCGUGCACGGAUGACAGGAGCCGCAAACACAUCGCACACAUGGCAACAACAUGGCAACAACACAAACCACUUAUAAAACAAACAAGACAUCUCACCUUCUGCCUCCACGCUGCGUUGGAGUAACGUGACAGUUAUUGCCCUCGUCGUCUUUGCUGCUGUGCUGGUUGAAACGCUAAAGAGGAGCUGUUGCUCGCGCGCCGCGAGGGACUUUCGCUACUUCUUGCGCGAUUUCCCCAUCGAGGCGUCCCUACAAUUUGAGCUUUCAGCGUGGAGACGAGCUGUCGUCAACGACCGCCAGUCGAACAUUUACGCUAACUCUAAAUAACUUCACUCACGGAUUUCAAAAAGCAUGGAGAAAGAAAGAAAAAAUGUCUAUCGCAAACUGUCGCGUCUUCCGUGUCGGACUGUCCCCACUGAGUCUGCGCGAAGUUGAUCACGUGACCCAGAUUUAUAAACUCUAUAAAUCAUUAAUUACAUUUUUAUUAUUAUUGUUGAACGGACAUAUAAUCAAACGUAUUAAUCCCCGUACAUUGCCACAACACAAUUUAUUUAAAAUUGAUUGCGCCAACAAAAUAAAACAUUGUAAAUAUUGCGCGUGCACAGCGCCUAUCGAUCGGGCACGAGACCAGUUCGUCAAGAUGGCUGCCCACACUGCUGCGAUGUCGAUGUCCAAAAUCCUUCAUCCAUUCUUGGGUGGACGCCUUGGAAAUACGGCCAAAGUAUUUGGUAGAACUCUGUCAAGUCACAAGAAUAAGACCGGAAAUAGUGUAAGUCAAUCAAAUUCCCACUACGCAUUUUACUAUUCCCAAGCUGUACCACCUUGGGUGCAACUUUUUGAUGUGACCUUUGUCUGCUAAAUACCGGCUUACCACAGUCUUUAGCGGAGGAGAGGUUAUAAUACCUCUAUACUGGCUACUUCUACCUAUUAUCUUAUAUUAUGUGGCUUUCAAACUACUGCCAUCUAACUCUUAUUCUUCUCCUUUCCUUGCUGUCCGUCGUCCACAACAGAGGGACAACAUUGUAAGUAGCCGACUCUGGAUCACUCGACUGCUACGCAUCCCUUGAUGAGCAAAGCCAGACAUUCCCAUUCAUGUUGCCCCUGUUUGAUGUAGAAAAACAACAUAUAUCUUCCUAUGACUUUAACCCUACUGUAGAAUAGUUAUGGCCGAUCACGCCAAACAAAUAAUGGAUAUUACCUCAUUUAAGUUUGGUAACGGCAUUGUUGUUCUUGUCCUAAGGUGAUUUGUAUUAAGCACCAGUUUUUUCCUUUUUAAAUUUUUGUGUAGGUAAUGUAUAAAUGUCAAUUUUACAGCCCCCUCCUGCAAAAUAUGGAGGCAGACACACUGUGACCCUCAUACCCGGAGAUGGAAUCGGUCCAGAGCUGCUCAAUCAUGUCAAAGAGGUUUUCAGGUCGGUCAAACUAAAAGUAAAUCCUGUUCUGAGUGUUCAUUACAGACUGUUCUGAGACUCCGCGUCCUCUCUCUCUCUCUCUCUCUCUCUCCCCCUC